CCCUAGCCCCGAUUGUAAAGAAAAUCCUUUUUUUGAAAAAAAAGAUUGUAAUGGAAAGCGGGAAAUAGC
rnacentral:sRNA from 1 species